UUCGGGAACUCUGAGACAGGUGCUGCAUGGCUGUCGUCAGCUCGUGUUGUGAAAUGUUGGGUUAAGUCCCGCAACGAGCGCAACCCUUAUCCUUUGUUGCCAGCGGUUCGGCCGGGAACUCAAAGGAGACUGCCGGUGAUAAACCGGAGGAAGGUGGGGAUGACGUCAAGUCAUCAUGGCCCUUACGGCCAGGGCUACACACGUGCUACAAUGGCGCAUACAAAGAGAAGCGACCUCGCGAGAGCAAGCGGACCUCAUAAAGUGCGUCGUAGUCCGGAUUGGAGUCUGCAACUCGACUCCAUGAAGUCGGAAUCGCUAGUAAUCGUAGAUCAGAAUGCUACGGUGAAUACGUUCCCGGGCCUUGUACACACCGCCCGUCACACCAUGGGAGUGGGUUGCAAAAGAAGUAGGUAGCUUAACCUUCGGGAGGGCGCUUACCACUUUGUGAUUCAUGACUGGGGUGAAGUCGUAACAAGGUAACCAAGGGCGAAUUCUG
rnacentral:rRNA from 1 species